ensembl:misc_RNA Metazoa_SRP Metazoan signal recognition particle RNA
GCCAGGCAAUUGGCACGUGCCUGUAGUUCCAGAUACUUGGGAGGCUGAGGCAGGAGAAUCUUCUGGAUUCUAGUGCACAAUGCCGAUCGGGUGGGUGUCUGCACUAAGUUUAGCAUCAGUAUGAUGACCUCCCAGGAGUGGGGCACCACCAGGUUGCCUAAGGAGGGAUGAACUGGCCCAGGUCAGAAACAGAGCAGGUCAAAACUUGUGUGCUGAUCAGUAGUGAGAUCACACCUGUGAAUAACCACUGCACUCCAGCCUGGGCAGUAUAGCAAGACCCCAUUUCUG